UACGAAGGGGGCUAGCGUUGCUCGGAGUCACUGGGCGUAAAGCGCACGUAGGCGGGUCCUUAAGUCAGGGGUGAAAUCCCGGAGCUCAACUCCGGAACUGCCUUUGAUACUGGGGAUCUUGAGUCCGGAAGAGGUGAGUGGAACUCCGAGUGUAGAGGUGAAAUUCGUAGAUAUUCGGAAGAACACCAGUGGCGAAGGCGGCUCACUGGUCCGGUACUGACGCUGAGGUGCGAAAGCGUGGGGAGCAAACAGG
rnacentral:rRNA from 1 species